AUUUUUUGGAGGUGUCCUCUUUGAAAUAAUGUGAUGGUGUCAGACCUCAGAAGCAAGGGGAAAGGAAAGAGAAAAAAGCUAAAACACAAGGUUUAUCUGGAUGUCUUCAACUGAUGUGAUCCUGCCCCAGAGCACCACAGCAUCACAGGACCAUUGAGGAUUUAGCUGUGACCAGAGGCAAAAAUGGAGUAAUGUCUCAACACGACAUAGCCAGUAGGCAGGAAAACUAGGCCUAAUCAUAAUUGUGAAAUUGAUUUUUAAUUAAUUGUGAAAUGAUUUUUCCCCCAAAUUAUGUAGAAUUGCUCUCAAAAUUCCACCC
rnacentral:lncRNA from 1 species